CUACCAGAAAAUUCGGGAUCCCGUCCGCUCUCCCAUAGUCAAGCUAGUAAGGGGCAGAUUAGUAGUUGGGUCGGUGACGACCA
rnacentral:rRNA from 1 species